AGCGAACGCUGGCGGCAGGCCUAACACAUGCAAGUCGAACGGAUCCUUCGGGAUUAGUGGCGGACGGGUGAGUAACACGUGGGAACGUGCCCUUUGGUUCGGAACAACACAGGGAAACUUGAGCCAAUACCGGAUGUGCCCUUCGGGGAAAAGAUUUAUCGCCAUUGGAGCGGCCCGCGUCUGAUUAGCUAGUUGGUGAGGUAAAGGCUCACCAAGGCGACGAUCAGUAGCUGGUCUGAGAGGAUGAUCAGCCACAUUGGGACUGGGAAACGGCCCAAACUCCUACGGGAGGCAGCAGUGGGGAAUCUUGCGCAAUGGGCGAAAGCCUGACGCAGCCAUGCCGCGUGAAUGAUGAAGGUCUUGGGAUUGUAAAAUUCUUUCACCGGGGACGAUAAUGACGGUACCCGGAGAAGAAGCCCCGGCUAACUUCGUGCCAGCAGCCGCCGUAA
rnacentral:rRNA from 1 species